rnacentral:rRNA from 1 species
GACGAACGCUGGCGGCGCGCCUAACACAUGCAAGUCGAACGGAGUCAAGAGGAGCUUGCUUUUCUUGACUUAGUGGCGAACGGGUGAGUAACGCGUGAGUAACCUGCCCUGGAGUGGGGGACAACAGUUGGAAACGACUGCUAAUACCGCAUAAGCCCACGGAUCUGCAUGGAUCUGCGGGAAAAGGAUUUAUUCGCUCUAGGAUGGACUCGCGUCCAAUUAGCUAGUUGGUGAGGUAACGGCCCACCAAGGCGACGAUUGGUAGCCGGACUGAGAGGUUGAACGGCCACAUUGGGACUGAGACACGGCCCAGACUCCUACGGGAGGCAGCAGUGGGGGAUAUUGCACAAUGGGGGAAACCCUGAUGCAGCGACGCCGCGUGGAGGAAGAAGGUUUUCGGAUUGUAAACUCCUGUCGCUAGGGACGAUAAUGACGGUACCUAACAAGAAAGCACCGGCUAACUACGUG